GGAGCCGAAGGGAAACCGAGUCUUAACUGGGCGUUAAGUUGCAGGGUAUAGACCCGAAACCCGGUGAUCUAGCCAUGGGCAGGUUGAAGGUUGGGUAACACUAACUGGAGGACCGAACCGACUAAUGUUGAAAAAUUAGCGGAUGACUUGUGGCUGGGGGUGAAAGGCCAAUCAAACCGGGAGAUAGCUGGUUCUCCCCGAAAGCUAUUUAGGUAGCGCCUCGUGAAUUCAUCUCCGGGGGUAGAGCACUGUUUCGGCAAGGGGGUCAUCCCGACUUACCAACCCGAUGCAAACUGCGAAUACCGGAGAAUGUUAUCACGGGAGACACACGGCGGGUGCUAACGUCCGUCGUGAAGAGGGAAACAACCCAGACCGCCAGCUAAGGUCCCAAAGUCAUGGUUAAGUGGGAAACGAUGUGGGAAGGCCCAGACAGCCAGGAUGUUGGCUUAGAAGCAGCCAUCAUUUAAAGAAAGCGUAAUAGCUCACUGGUCGAGUCGGCCUGCGCGGAAGAUGUAACGGGGCUAAACCAUG
rnacentral:rRNA from 1 species